rnacentral:lncRNA from 1 species
CACACGCACCAAGCACACACACACACGCGCGCGCGCGCGCACACACACACACACACACACACACACACACACAGAAAAUGAAAAAGAAGAGUACCGACGGCUCUGGCAUUGAGUCCAGCCUCCCCCCUCCCCCCACAAGUCCCAGACCUUCCAGUUCAAACAUUCACAUAAACAUUACACUGGUUUUUCUCUUAAUAAAAAAGAAGUACCUCUAAACAAAGAAUAUUCCUCGGAAACUAUAGGUAAAUCACUCUCUCUCCUGAGGCAGCCGAGGCGGGGCUCGGGGCCCAGGGAAGCCUUUGGCCUAGAAGGGCUUCUGGGGCCUGGAGGGGUGGGCGCCCCUCAGCCGGGGCGGGGGCAGGAGGGCAGCUGCCCCUGUACAUUCAGUCUGCAGACCCAGGCUCAGCCCCGAGGGGCCGGGAGGAAAAUAAACUCUUGUUAGUUUUGGUUUAAAAAACAAAAUUCAAAAAGAAAAAAGGAACAGAUCAGUAGGAAUAACAGCAACCUAGGCCCAGAGGGCUCUUUAGCUGUGGAGAGGUAGGCGGUGGGGGCCCCCCUGACUGUCCCAGCGCCAGUGAGCAGUGACCCCUGGCUCCAGGAAGGAGGGCUCUGUCCCCUCCCCUCCAGCACCAUUCCCCGAAGAGCCAGGGUGGCCCGCACACAGACAAGCACUCGUGCAUGCACACAGACACCGCCCCUGGCCACGGGGCAGCCCUGCUCCUCCCCAGCAGAGGGAGGCCCCCACUGCCCCCUGCUCUGACCCGGCCUGCGGGAAAGGGGCCAGAUCCCAGCAAGACCCCCAUGACCCACUCCCAUGGGCCCCGCAGUGGCCGCCUCGGGGAGCCAGAGGCCUGGGCGGAAUCGGGAGGUAGACUGCACACCAGCAAUGCACAUGCGGAGCUUGGGCCCAUCGGCUUCCCUCCUCUCUCUUCCCUUGGUACAGACUGUCCAUUAAAGCUCUGGGUGUGGGGGGGGCUGGCUGGAGGUGCCACCAGGAGCUACCCCUGUGGGACCUGGGGGUCCUGGCCCCUCCUGCCUGGCCUCCGUGCUUCUUUCUUCCUUCCGUUGGCUCCCGAGGGCGAGUCUGCAGAGGGCACCCUUGGGCCGGGGAGAAGGGUCUUUGGCUUCUAGGAGCUAGGAGGGGGAAGUAUGCAUGCGCAAGUGGCUGAUGAGGUUGCGCUGCUGGGUGAACUUGCCUCCGCAGAGCUGGCACUCAUAGGGCUUCUCGCCUGAGUGCACGCGCAUGUGCUCAGUGAGGCGGUACUGGCGGGUGAAGCGCAUGCCACACUCAUCGCAGGCAAAGGGCUUCAGGCCCAGGUGGCUCCGCAUGUGACGUGUCAUGGUGCCGCGCUGGGUGAACAUUUUGCCGCAGAUGUUGCAGGGGAAGGGCCGAGUCAGCCAGUGUGUCUUCUCGUGCUGCCGCAACGUGGCAGGGUCCUUGUAGGUCUUCUCGCAGACGGAGCACUUGAAGGGCCGGGGCUCAGCAGCAUAGGCCGCGCUGGGCGCCGACAGGUCCUCAGCCUCCUCCUCAGCGCCCCCGCUGCCUGUCUCAUAAGCACCCUCCUCCUUGAUGAACAGCUCCUCCUCUGUGUGUGUCUCCACGUGGGCAUUGAGCUGCUCAGAGCUGGGGAAGCCUUUGGCGCAGGGGAUGCACACAUACAGGUUGUCCCCAUAGGACACCGUCUCGUAGCCCUCCUGCCGGUACAUGUAGUGGGUACCAGCAUGGCCGCUGCCCCCCUCGCUCCCGCUCUGCCCGCUGUCCUCACUUCCAUCCUUGCCAUUCUCCUCCUCCUCCUUGCAGGAGUACGGGGGCUCCGUGUAAGGCCCACUGGGGCCACCCCCCGCAACGCUGCUGGCCAGGAUGCCAUUGGGAACCCUGUCCCCUAGCCCCUCACCCUCUUCCCCCGGGCAAGGGCCCUUGGGCCCCGCUUCCCUCCGCUCAAAGGGGGACCCCACCAUAGGCUCCUUCUUGCUCCAUUCCUUCUUGCGGGCUGAGUGCCGCAGGCUCUUCCGGGGCUGUCCACCAGGCCCCUCCAGCAGACUCAGGUGGUUAUCCUCAGACCCCUCCAGAUCCAUGGGCUCAUUGGGGGUGCCCCCCAGCUCAGCAUAAGAGGCACUGUUGGCAACAGGAGGGGCAGAGGCUGAGAGGGGCGAGCCAUGCUGACUGUCACUCAGCUGGGCUGGGUCUUCCGGGGUCAGGGGGGGACCGGGGGUAGCAGGGGGCAGGGGAGGGCUCUUCUUGGACAGGUCCAGGCCCAGCUCCUGCUCGCAGCCCCCACUGCUCCCAUUGGUGCUGCAGCUGCCCAGGCCAGCCUCCCCACUGGUGGGACAGACGGCCCGGCUCAGGCCAUGCACGCCCUCCUGGCUUGAGCCUCCGAGGAAGAGCUCGUCAUCCGAGCCUUUGGCCUGGGGGAGCUCCUGGGGGGUGUGGGCCCCCUUGCGUCCGUCCAUGAGCCCCGGAUACCGUGCCUGGAUGACAGAGGCUGUGGACAGCCGCUGGCUGCGGGGAGGCCUCCCCAUGCCGGUGGCACUCACCCGUCCGGAGCCAAAGGGCUUGCCGGCUCGCUUGAGUUUACGACGGCAGAGGGCUGCCAACUCGGGCAGCUGGAGGUAGCUGGCGGCAGUGAGGAGAGUGCUGAAAUUGGGCUCAGCUGGCUGGUCGCUGGGCAGCAGCUUGCCCGUGUAGAUGAAGUCCAGGAUCUGCUGGAACACCGUGGAGCUGACCAUGUCCGUGUCCAGGUUGAUGAGGUUAUCGUGCAGGACUAGGGACUUGAAGUAGAUGCUGCUGGCAGCCAGAACAUUCUUGUGGGCCCGAAAGAUGGAGUUCUCCACCAUGAUGAUGACAUCACACAGAAAGCCCUUUGUCCUCUGCUGGUUCAGCUGCAACAAGAGCUGCUUGGAGUGGCUGGGCAGCUCCAUGUCGGGCCCCAUGUCCCCUCGCCCUGCCCACGCGUACCACCUGUGGGCAAGAACACAUGGGGCAUUAACCACCUGGGAGCCUCAUCCAAGGGCUUGGAGACAAUGUGGGGUUGCAGUGGUGCUCAGGGGGCCUCACUGGCACAGUACCCAAGCAGGGAACUCACACUACCCAUUGGGGCUCAUGCUGCCUGAAAAGAGACACUGGCACUGGCCCCAUUUGCACCAAUGAGAAAAACAGAAACAGAGGACAAUGAGGGUCACAUGAUGCUAAGCAGAGACAAUCGGAUAUGAAUUUGGUUCCACAACCCAGGGUACCGUCUCCACACUAAAGUCGACCACAUGCCCACAGGGGACUUAAAAAUGACCAGCAGGGGACUGUGAGGUACUGGGAAGCAGUGGGGAAUGAAAUGAGCAGAAGCUCCCGGGCAGGCUCACUUCCCACAUGGGCAUAUAACUUCCUGGUUUUUAGGGCAAACUGGAAAUUAAGUUUGCCAGGCUAAACCUCCCAAUGUCAAAUAAAGGUUCUUUUUCCUAUGCAGCCACCACCUGUGACCUCUGCUCUGCCCUGAGUGCCUCUCAAACAACCCUAGUGGCUUCCCAAACUUACAGGUUUGUCAACGUCACAUUCCUGCCUUCAGACACUGCAGCCCAGCCAGAGUCCCUUGCCAAUGCCUGCUCCCAGCUCAGGAGGGCCCUGAGCACCCCAGCCUGGGUCGCUAGGUGCUGAGCAGAAAAGGUGGCCUGGCCAAGCCUCUGGCACCACUGGGGCCCUGGGAAUGGCAGCCAGCUGGCCUUGUCAGCCUGGUACAGUCACUGACGUCAUUAAGUAAUAGACACACAGAAACCUCUGACCUCCCCGAGAAUCCUGCAGGUGGGCUUUGUAAGAGCAUGCACAUGGUCUCUGGGAGCAGUAAUGCUCUGACCAUGCACCCACCCAAAUGAGCAGCAGGACCCAAGGCACAAAGUGUGGCUCCAUGCUCCCUCUGGCCCCUCACACAGGCAACUCUGUGCCAUGCAGUUGACAAAUGUGCUUUCACGUCUCCAAAAGUAACUGACUGCUCUGAGCCUCACCCUACCCAGGACCUCCCAGCUUCUACCAGUGUACCCAACCCAGUUCUGCCUCCCUUAGGGCAGAGCCUGAAGGGAUCACGCCCAUGCUGGCUUUCUGUAACACAAACACUUCCCACUCCCAGUUACCCCACACCUGCUCUGAUAGACGGAAACUCUAAUAACCAUGCAUAUCCCAAAGAAGGCCUUGGAACUCACCAUGAACACACAUGGGUAGACAGAGCCACAAGCUAGCACUCAGGGCCUGAUAGGAGCAGCAAGCACGGGCUCAGCCAACCCAGCCAACCCAGCCUUAUAAGACCGUUCAGCUGGGGCUCAGAGGCUAGAGCCCAGGUCCCAAGAGAACCUACCCUCUGUCACUCCCUGCUCCUCAGCCAGCCAGUCAGGGACAAAGAGCCCAAGGCACAGCUUCCACACUGGCAGGGACACCCAGCCCCAGGGAAAUGUGGUGUCAGCCCCACCAGCACCCAGGAUGCCUGGUGCUCCCAGACUGGCAAGGGGCAGGCCAAGGGCAGGAGGUCCCGUCCUCCAAGAGCAUGUGAGCCACAGCAGCCCCUCCUCUGCAGGCUGAGAACAGUGGGCCCCAACCUCCCCUCCAUGCACCCCAGCACUGCAUACACACAAAGGACCAGGCUGAGAACUGCAAGGCUGUGUGGGCCGCCCAAAAAGCCUUCCCCCAUGUCUCCCCCUCCCUCCAUCCUGCCAGUUCCCUGACCCCAGCCUACCGUAGUGCCAGGGGCCCAGAAACCAUGUGAGCAGCAGCCAGCGGGGGUGGCCUCCUUGAGCGCGUGGCCUCCCUGGGGGUGCAUCAAUGCCUGGUCACCUGGGGA